CCGGGGCAUCCCGGAGGCAGGAAAGGCUUCGGCCGGACAGGGAUGGGCAUGCGGCGCAUUAGGCAGUAGGCGGGGUAACGGCCCACCUAACCGACGAUGCGUAGGGGUUCUGAGAGGAAGGUCCCCCACACUGGUACUGAGACACGGACCAGACUCCUACGGGAGGCAGCAGUGAGGAAUAUUGGUCAAUGGUCGGGAGACUGAACCAGCCAAGCCGCGUGAGGGAUGAAGGUACAGAGUAUCGUAAACCUCUUUUGUCAGGGAACAAAGGCGGGGACGUGUCCCCGGAUGAGUGUACCUGAAGAAAAAGCAUAGGCUAACUCCGUGCCAGCAGCCGCGGUAAUACGGAGGAUGCGAGCGUUAUCCGGAUUUAUUGGGUUUAAAGGGUGCGCAGGCGGUCUGUUAAGUCAGCGGUCAAAGCCCGGGGCUCAACCCCGGCCCGCCGUUGAAACUGGCAGUCUCGAGUUGGAGAGAAGUAUGCGGAAUGCGCGGUGUAGCGGUGAAAUGCAUAGAUAUCGCGCAGAACUCCGAUUGCGAAGGCAGCAUGCCGGCUCCACACUGACGCUGAGGCACGAAAGCGUGGGUAUCGAACAGGAUUAGAUACCCUGGUAGUCCACGCAGUAAACGAUGAAUGCUGGCUGUCCGGG
rnacentral:rRNA from 1 species